AACACUCCUCUUCUCAUAGCGUCUUUCAUUAAAUUCUAUGUUUGUUUCACUUUUCUAUUAAGGGCUCGUUUGGUAGCUCAUACAAAGUGAUACAACCCCAUAAAAUCCUAAACAAGCUGCCUUUAUUUCAUCUUGUCAGGUAUUUGGUAGCUAGAGAAAUUCAUCCCACAACCCGGUAAAAGAAGUUCGGAUCUCCUACAAACCCAGAAACUAAUCAGUGAUGUUCGCAUAACAUUAUCGGAGGAAGUUAGUGGUAUAACCUUUUCUCCACUUCACCGACUUCAAGUUCGACCGAUUUAUGCCCAAAUUGCCCCCGUUUUUUUCAAAUCUACCCGUCACAAAGCGUAUUUUGGCGGAGGAGGAUUCGACGUCCGUUGUUGACUAGUUUUGUGAAAGGAUUUGCAUCGGCAGGCGUAGUACCGACUUCACCGACUGUAACAGGGGGAGACUUUGGAAUCUCGAGCUCAUAGUUGUUCUUUGAAAUCUUUGGUGGAGACUCUGCCCUGAUAAAUGUCAUCAAUUUUAUCCUUGAAUGCAUGGGGCAUGUUGUUCAAGAUCAAAUCUUGGAAGGUUUUCUGCUGCAACAUAGUGCUGGGAUGUUUUCCAGUUGGUUGCUGUGAAGAUUGAGGUGUAAGUUAGAAUAGUAGUAUGAGUGAUGUGUAUAGAUUUGCAAGUGCUAGUGCGAGCCCGAGUUCGAGUUUAAUUAGUACAGUAGCACAAAUGAUACAGAGGAUGAUCGCACCAUUGCUGAGAUAUUGGCUAAGGUGGGAAAUGAUCCAAUGAGGUGGGAACCUUGAUAUGAGGUGGGAAAUGAUCCAAUGGAGGGAGUUCUGCAGCUUUCUAAGUAACUUCAUGUGGGAAAGUUUCUCCAAGCGUGAAAACGGCUUUAAAUUAAGGCAUAAAGGGUUCCCAGCAUCAUCUUUGGAUCGCAACCUCAAUGAUUGGAGAUCAGAUAAGCUCGGAAAUCCACUCCACCAAAGGAUCUUGACAUCUAUCAUGAUCAUCACCGAGCUUGAUGCAACGGAAAGAAAUGUCUAGCUCUCUUAGGUGUUUCAGCUUGCUCAGGCCAUUCUUUAUUGGGGUCUCGUGGCUGACUGAUAACCCCAUGAGAGUUAGGUGAUUGGGCAAGGACUUGUGGAAGUGCAGAGGUGUGUCCUUGUCUAGAUGAACUUCGUUGAAAUUGAGAAGCUGGAGAUUUCCGCGCCAAUUUGAUAAGAUCUCCGCGCCAUCCAGCAGAUUUGCAAGGACUGCAGAGGGCAGUGGUGACAUUUCAUGUGAAAAAGCAAGGGCAUAUUUGUCAACUCAAUGUGUAAUAGCAUUUUCAAGUAUAAAGCCAAAUCCCUACCAAA